rnacentral:misc_RNA from 1 species
UACGGAGGGUGCAAGCGUUGUUCGGAAUUAUUGGGCGUAAAGCGCGCGCAGGCGGCUUUGUAAGUCUAGGGGUCAAAUGCCGGGGCUCAACCCCGUGCUCGCCCCAGAUACUGCAAGGCUGGAGGCAGGUAGAGGCUAACGGAAUUCCGGGUGUAGCGGUGGAAUGCGUAGAGAUCCGGAAGAACACCAGAGGCGAAGGCGGUUAGCUGGACCUGACCUGACGCUGAGGCGCGAAAGCGUGGGGAGCGAACAGG